rnacentral:RNase_MRP_RNA from 1 species
CUGGCACUCGCCGUCGGCCUCCAGCAGCUCGGCUUCCCUGAAGAGCUUGUAAGCUUCCCUGUCCUUGGGCUUGUCGCAUAUCGGGUCCUUCCUCUUG